rnacentral:lncRNA from 1 species
GGAUUACUUUUAUUUUUUUACUUCUCUGUUGCUGUGGCUAGGACUUCCAAAAUUAUGUUGAAGAGUAGUGGUGAGAGCAGACAUCCUUGUCUUGUUCCUGAUCUCAGCGUGAAUUCUUUCAGCUUUUCACCAUUAACAAUGAUAUUUGGGUUUGUCAUCUAUGGACUUUAUCAUGUUGAGGUAGGUUCCUUCUGUGGCCACUUUCUGAAGGGUUUUUAUUAGAAAAGGGUGUUGGGUUUUGUCAAAGACUUUUUCUGCUUUUAUUCCUCAGUUUGUUAAGGCAGUGUAUAACCCUGAUUGAUUUGUGGAUAUUGAAGAAUCCUUGCAUCCUUGGGAUAAAUCCACUUGAUUGAUCAUGAUGUACAAUUUUUUAAAUGUAUUGUUGGAUUUGGUUUGCUAGUAUUUUGUUGAGGAUUUUUACAUCUAUGUUCAUCAGUGAAAUUGGCCUGUAGUUUUCUUUUUGGGGUAUCUUUGUCUGGUUUUGGUGUCAGGUUGGUGAUGGCCUCAUAGAAUGAUUUUGGGAAUGUUCUUUCCUCUGCAAUUUUUUGGAAUAGUUUCGGAAAGAUAGAUGUUAGCUCUUCUCUAAAUGUUUGAUAGAAUUUGCCUGUGAAGCCAUCUGGUCCUGGACUUUUGUUUGUUGGAAGAUUUUUAAUGACAGUUUCAAUUUCAGUACUUGUGAUUGGUCUAUUCAUCUUUUCUAUUUCAUCUUGGUUUAGUCUUGGAAGAUUGUACUUUUCUAAGACUUGGUCCAUUUCUUCUAGGUUUUCCGUUUUAUUGGCGUAUAGUUGCAUAUAGUAGUCUCUUAUGAUCCUUUGUAUUUCUGUGAUGUCUGUUGUUACUUCUCCUUUUUCAUUUCUAAUUUUAUUGUUUUGAGUCCUCUCUCUUUUUUUCUUGAGAAGUCUGGCUAAGGGUUUAUCCAUUUUGUUGAUCUUUUCAAAGAACCAGCUUUUCAUUUCAUUGAUCUUUUCUAUGGUUUUCUUUGUUUCUAUUUCAUUGAUUUUUGCUGUAAUCUUUAUGAUGUCUUUCCUUCUGCUAACUUUAUUUAGGUCUUGUCUGUUCUCUCUCAAGCUGCUUUAGAUGUAAAGUUAGGUUGUUUAUUUGAGCUGUUUCUUGUUUCCUGAGGUAGGCUUGUAUUGCUAUAAACUUUCCUCUUAGAAUGGCUUUUGCUGCAUCCCAUAGAAGUGUGUAUCUUUUUUGUCAUUUGCUUCUAAGUAUUUUUUAAUUUCUUCUUUGAUUUUUUUCAGUGGUCCUUUGGUUGUUUCAUAGCAUGUUAUUUAGUCUCCACUUGUUCGUGUUUUUUUGCAGUUUUCUUGUCCUUGAUUUCCAGUCAUAUAGCAUUGUGGCUGUAAAAGAUGCUUGAUAUGAUUUCAAUUUUCUUAAAGUUACCAGGGCUUGAUUUGUAGCCCAGAAUGUGAUCAAUCUUAGAGAAUGAUCCGUGUGCACUUGAGAAGAAUGUGUAUUCUGCUGCUUUUGGAUGGAAUGUCCUAUGAAUAUCUACUAAGUCCAUCUGGUCUAAUGCUUAAUUCAGGGCCUGUGUUUCCUUAUCGAUUUUGUGUCUGGAUGAUCUGUCCGUUGCUGUAAGUGCAGUGUUAAAGUGUUAUUACAGUGUUAUUGUUGAUUUAUCCUUUUAAGGUUGUUAGCAGUUGCCUUGUAUAUUGUGGUGAACGUAUGUUGGCUGCAUAGAUAUUUAAAAUUGUUAUAUCUUCUUCUUGGAUUGAUCCUUUGAUCAUUAGGUAGUGACCUUCCUUGUCCCUUAAAACAUUCUUCAUUUUAAAGUCUAUUUUUUCUGAUAUGAGUAUUGCUACUCCAGCUUUCUUUUGAUUCCUGUUUUCCUGGAAUAUUUUCUUCCAUCCUCUCCCUUUCAAUUUGUAUGUCUCCCUAGAAGUGAAGUGGGUCUCUUGAAGACAACAUA